GCGAGGGGUCCGUAACGGCUGGACUGCAUGGUGGCAAAGAGUGGUGGUGAGACGAAUCUUCGAACUUACAGGCACGAGACAGCAGAGAUUGCAACUCUUAACCUGAUAGGACUGGUGGUGUGAGACAAAUGAGAAAAGAUUAUUUUUAGGUGAAAUCCUCAAUGCAACUCAGUGGAUGCUGAGUAUGGACGGUCAGGUGGUUGUGAAUCCACACCCCAACCUUGUGGCUGGAUUUGCAGCUUUGUUCGCAUCAUACUACAACUUCAACCUGGUUUAUUAGGAGGAGGCAUCCUCCACACUUGAAUUUGUUCUAAGAUAAUCAAAACAGUGCUGUGGCUGCGUUUGUAAUUAUUUUUGUUGGUGAAAAAACAGGAAAUAUGCUGUCUUAAAUAUGUUUUGUUGGAAUCACACCUACCACUGGCAUCAAGACAGCCAAAACAAAGGUUGGAGGCAAAAAAGUGGAAACGCCUCUGAGAAGAGAAACAACACCAUCAACCCUCAUGUGUGUACUCUUUUCAGAAAAUUAUUGGACUUUGAAUGGUUACGCAUGUAAGUUCUUGUUCAUGUAUUAAGACCAAAACAUAUUGUAAAUAGGCCAGUUCUGUGAUUGAGCACUUGUGUUUCUAGACAUACAAGUUAUGUUAUGUUCUAACACAGAUUCAACAAGAUCUUAAAUGUAACACAAACCGUGUUUAGAUGUUUUAUAGAUGCCAUUGUUUUAGAAUAUUAAGGAUUGAGUGGAAUAUUUGCUGAAACAACAUAAUUUUUUUGAAAGUACUUUGCUGUUAGUUUUAAUAAAUGUUGUUCUUGAAGCACCUUUGACUUUGGUUGCAUUAUUCUGUAAAUUACAUUUAAUUCAGUUUUCAUUCUCAUGUAUUUACAGGAAUAGAUUUGGUAAAUAUAUUACAGUGUAAUAAUGUAGUAAAAAUUCUUUACAGCAUUUGAAUGUAAAACUAUUACAAUAUCAUCUUGGGUUUU